GUGAGGAAUAUUGGUCAAUGGACGAGAGUCUGAACCAGCCAAGUAGCGUGAAGGAUGAAGGUCCUACGGAUUGUAAACUUCUUUUAUAAGGGAAUAAAACCUCCCACGUGUGGGAGCUUGUAUGUACCUUAUGAAUAAGCAUCGGCUAACUCCGUGCCAGCAGCCGCGGUAAUACGGAGGAUGCGAGCGUUAUCCGGAUUUAUUGGGUUGAAAGGGAGCGCAGACGGGAGAUUAAGUCAGUUGUGAAAGUUUGCGGCUCAACCGUAAAAUUGCAGUUGAUACUGGCGUCCUUGAGUGCGGUUGAGGUGUGCGGAAUUCGUGGUGUAGCGGUGAAAUGCUUAGAUAUCACGAAGAACUCCGAUUGCGAAGGCAGCACACUAAUCCGUAACUGACGUUCAUGCUCGAAAGUGUGGGUAUCAAACAGGAUUAGAAACCCCGGUAGUCC
rnacentral:rRNA from 1 species